AAAGUUUUAGUUUAUAAAAAAUAAUUUAUUUACAAUAAAUAGAAUAAUUUAAGUUAAAAUUUUA
rnacentral:tRNA from 1 species